CGGCGCGCCGUGUCCCUGCGGCCGCCGCUCCCGGGGCUCUCCCCGCUGCUUAUAGGGGCUUCCUCCCGCUUUUCGAGGCUUUUUCCCGGCUCGUCCCGGCGGCGGGGGACGCGGGGAGAGCCGCGGCUGCGCGCCGGAGGAGCCGCCCCGUAGCCACCGACCUGCAGCGCAGCCGCCACCCCGCAAGGGAUUCGCCACAUUUUGUACCUGGCACGGAUUUCAGUCUGGUUUUUAGACAUUUCAGUCUCGGCUUUACGCGGUUUGAAGCGAGGGAAACGCUACCCUGGUCCUCCCUCCAUUCCCUUGCACGACAAACAACGCUCAAUGCCUUAAUUUAAUGCUUAUUCAGACUUUUAAAUACAUAAAUUCAGCAUUUUAGAUACAGGCUUUUAAAUACAUAAAUUCAGCCGUUAAAA